AUUGAACGCUGGCGGCAGGCUUAACACAUGCAAGUCGAACGCACCGCAAGAUGAGUGGCAGACGGGUGAGUAACGCGUGGGAACAUACCCUUUUCUACGGAAUAGCUCUGGGAAACUGGAAUUAAUACCGUAUACGCCCUACGGGGGAAAGAUUUAUCGGGGAAGGAUUGGCCCGCGUUGGAUUAGCUAGUUGGUGGGGUAAAGGCCUACCAAGGCGACGAUCCAUAGCUGGUCUGAGAGGAUGAUCAGCCACAUUGGGACUGAGACACGGCCCAAACUCCUACGGGAGGCAGCAGUGGGGAAUAUUGGCCAAUGGGCGCAAGCCUGAUCCAGCCAUGCCGCGUGAGUGAUGAAGGCCUUAGGGUUGUAAAGCUCUUUCACCGAUGAAGAUAAUGACGGUAGUCGGAGAAGAAGCCCCGGCUAACUUCGCGCCAGCCGCCGCGGUAAUAC
rnacentral:rRNA from 1 species